AUUGAACGCUGGCGGCAGGCCUAACACAUGCAAGUCGAGCGAGCGGCGGACGGGUGAGUAAUGUCUGGGAAACUGCCUGAUGGAGGGGGAUAACUACUGGAAACGGUAGCUAAUACCGCAUACCAUCAGAUGUGCCCAGAUGGGAUUAGCAAGUAGGUGGGGUAACGGCACACUUAGGCGACGAUCCCUAGCUGGUCUGAGAGGAGGACCAGCCACACUGGAACUGAGCAACGGUCCGUACUCCUACGGGAGGAAGCAGUGGGGAAGAGUGCACAAUGGGCGCAAGCCUGAUGCAGCCAUGCCGGGUGUGUGAAGAAGGCCUUCGGGUUGUAAAGCACUUUCAGCGGGGAGGCGUUACCCGCAGAAGAAGCACCGGCUAACUCCGUGCCAGCCGCCGCGGUAAUUC
rnacentral:rRNA from 1 species